rnacentral:sRNA from 19 species
CUGAUUAUUACCACCAUCAGGUCCAUGGUGGGUUAGCGCGCGUCGGUACAUCGCUACAUAAACCCGCCAGAGGCGGGUUUU